rnacentral:misc_RNA from 1 species
AACAUCGCGCACCUGCGGGAACCUGCGGAGGGAUCAUUACCGAGUUAUACAACUCCCAAACCCACUGUGAACCUUACCUCAGUUGCCUCGGCGGGAACGCCCCGGCCGCCUGCCCCCGCGCCGGCGCCGGACCCAGGCGCCCGCCGCAGGGACCCCAAACUCUCUUGCAUUACGCCCAGCGGGCGGAAUUUCUUCUCUGAGUUGCACAAGCAAAAACAAAUGAAUCAAAACUUUUAACAA